AAUCAUGCCUAGCUAUAAACAAAAAUUUUAUAGUAAAUUUUAAUAUGAUGAUGAUAUAUAUAUAUUAUUAUUAUUUAUAUCAUUAUAUCUUCUUUCACUGAUGAAAUCAUCAUGUUAUCAUUGAUCAGAUAGAAGCCGGACGUCCGGCCGAGUUUGAUUUCUGGGCAACGCGAAGAGUGCUGGCGAUGGUAUCCGGUUCACUACUACCAUCGUGGUCGAUGCGGUGUCAUCAGUGGUCUCUAAAUCAGUGUUAUCGUCGGUAUGGUCUUCGUCGGUUCCGCUGAUCAGAUUUGGACGGCAACGUCGCCGACAGCCCCUUCUUAUAGUCCUCUUUCUUCUCGACCUUCUCCUAGACAAUGCAUCUUUGUCGUCUUCUUCAACGUCCUUGCUGUAGUCGACAAUAAGUGUUGCUUAAUGAAACUCUCAAAUUCAAAGCAAUCAUCAGUAAUCGUGUGGGCAGAACGACGUGAAAGAACCCCAAAAAACAAAACAUAGGUGGUAUUACUGAAGCUUUGGACAACGUUGGUCAGUCAACCAGUAGUAUCAACGAUUUAAUAAUAUUAAGAUGUGGUCGUCGAUCAAGGGGUAGAGGUCAAGGAGUUGCAGGACGUGAGGCCGAUCGUGGUCUGGUCGCCGUCGAACAAGGAGACGUAGCAUCAGUAGUACCAAAGAAGACGAAGACGACGAUUACAGCACAGGCGCUGAAGAAGACUACGAAGAUGACGAUUCGUCAACGGUAGAUGCGUCGUCUAGGAGAAGGUCAAGAAGAAAGAGGAGUAGACGAAGGGGCAGUCAGCGACGUCGCCGUCUAAAUCAAAUCAGCGGAACCAACGAAGACGAUAUACCGACGAUAACAUCGACUUAGAGACCACCGAUGACACUACAUCGCCCAACGAUGGUAGUAGCGUUACCCUGUUUUAACUUAAUCUUCCAGAGAAUUUUAUGCAUUUUAAACCCGUUUAGUUGUAACUAAAUAUUCAAACUAAUAAAUAAUAAUAAAAUAAAACAAAUCAAGAAUAAUUAUAUAUUU